CAGUAGCCGCGGGAAUACGAAGGGGGCUAGCGUUGCUCGGAAUUACUGGGCGUAAGGGGAGCGUAGGCGGGUCGUUUAGUCAGAGGUGAAAUCCCGGGGCUCAACCUCGGAACUGCCUUUGAUACUGGCGACCUUGAGUAUGGGAGAGGUGAGUGGAACUCCGAGUGUAGAGGUGAAAUUCGUAGAUAUUCGGAAGAACACCAGUGGCGAAAGCGACUCACUGGCCCAUUACUGACGCUGAGGCUCGAAAGCGUGGGGAGCAAACAGGAUUAGAUACCCCAGUAGUCCCUGUCUCUUAUAC
rnacentral:rRNA from 1 species